CACAAUCCCUGCUCUGUCAGAUUGUAUUAAAUGUAAUCAGAUCAGACAAUGACAUACACCAAGAUAGAAGUGGUAGAAAACCCUGUGACAGAGGGACCAUAGCCACUCAGACAGACAGGAGGAAAACUAGAUAGCAUGCUGAGUGAAAACUGCUGACAGGGACCUCUUGCCGCGUGGGCACAGGGUGACAGCAAGAUUCUUCAGAUGGACUUAAUGACCUUGGCCCUCAACAAGAGCAAAUCAGAAUGCUGGACAUUUUCCUCCCCAUGAGAGCUUCUACGUGUGAAAGGCAGGGAUACCAGAUGCUAGAGACACAAUGGAAUAGUACCAGUUUUCUUUGCUGGUGAGAAUUCCCGUGACAUAAUUUGGAGGCCCCAGCAAGAUUCCAGCCACACCAACCCUCUGCACUGAGGAAACAGCAGCUCAGCCACACCAGAAUGAAGGAUUUCCAAGUGAAGAUGCUAAGCAUGUUCUGGCAUUCCUCUGAGCAGGACUCUGACUCAGUACUUGACUCUUCUGACAUCUGACCCCCAUGACUAGACUCACUAGAUAGAGGGGGACAAAUUUGACAGAAAAAAACUUGCAGGAUAAGAGAAAACAUCUACCUGAAACAUUUCCUUCUGCUCUUGCUGUGUAAAGGUGUCCAACUAUGACAGACAUUUCUUUUGGUAAACACGGGACGCGGAGACAACCCUGUCAUCUGACCUCUGAAAGGUGUGAAAAAUUAUGGGAUGCUGCUGGACUUUUCCAAAGCACUCGAUUGGCUCCACCCAGUCUUUGUAUAAAUUAAAGUUCUGCCCCUCUGGUUGCAUGGUUGUUUCUCUGCUGGCUGGAACUCCUAUUGGGGGGACGAGGAGAAUGCCAAGGCUUUGAAG
rnacentral:lncRNA from 1 species